rnacentral:rRNA from 1 species
UCAGGAUGAACGCUAGCUACAGGCUUAACACAUGCAAGUCGAGGGGCAGCAUGGGAGUUGCUGCAACUCUGAUGGCGACCGGCGCACGGGUGAGUAACGCGUAUCCAACCUUCCCCUUAGUAGGGCAUAGCCCGUAGAAAUGCGGAUUAAUACCCUAUGUUCUUCGAAGCGGUCAUCCAAUUUGAAGCAAAGAUUCAUCGCUAAGGGAUGGGGAUGCGUCCGAUUAGGUUGUUGGCGGGGUAACGGCCCACCAAGCCAUCGAUCGGUAGGGGUUCUGAGAGGAAGGUCCCCCACAUUGGAACUGAGACACGGUCCAAACUCCUACGGGAGGCAGCAGUGAGGAAUAUUGGUCAAUGGGCGAGAGCCUGAACCAGCCAAGUAAGCGUGCAGGAUGACGGCCCUAUGGGUUGUAAACUGCUUUUAUCAGGGGAUAAAGUGACCCACGUGUGGGUUUUUGUAGGUACCUGAUGAAUAAGGACCGGCUAAUUCCGUGCCAGCCGCGGC